rnacentral:misc_RNA from 1 species
GUGAAUCAUCGAAUUUUUGAACGCAAAUUGCGCUUCCUGGCAUCCCGGGAAGUAUGCCUGUUUGAGGGACAGUAUUAACAAAAAAUCGGUUUGGUUGCAAAUUGUGACGUUUCCGGAGCUUUGGCUAUCUUAACUCUUUUGAUUAAGGGGCUUAAAAUUGACCUCUUUUGCGCCUUUUUAGACGUACAGACAUUUUUUUUUUUUUCGUCUA